CGUCUAGGCGGGGAGUUAAGUUAGAUGUGAAAGCCAUGGGCUCAACCCAUGAAUUGCACCUAAAACUGAUUCUCUUGAGUUCGGGAGAGGAGAGCGGAAUUCCCGGUGUAGCGGUGAAAUGCGUAGAUAUCGGGAAGAACACCAGUGGCGAAGGCGGCUCUCUGGCCCAGAACUGACGCUGAAGCGCGAAAGCGUGGGGAGCGAACG
rnacentral:rRNA from 1 species